GGAGGAGUGGCAGAGCGGUUGAAUGCGGCGGUCUUGAAAACCGUUAGAUUCGUAAGAGUCUCAGGGGUUCGAAUCCUCUCUCCUCCGCCA
rnacentral:tRNA from 1 species